UGCCGCCGGGUAAGUCUUAUACGACCAGCUCCUGCUGAAACCCCCCAGGACCGGAAGGUAGCAAGGGUAGGCGGUUGUAGCGGUGCGAUAUAAGUAGCUUACCCUUUU
rfam:Bacteroidetes bacterium 4484_249 ex4484_259_scaffold_8064, whole genome shotgun sequence.